UGCGAACUCCUACGGGAGGCAGCAGUGGGGAAUUUUGGACAAUGGGCGCAAGCCUGAUCCAGCCAUGCCGCGUGUCUGAAGAAGGCCUUCGGGUUGUAAAGGACUUUUGUCAGGGAAGAAAAGGCUGUUGCUAAUAUCGACAGCUGAUGACGGUACCUGAAGAAUAAGCACCGGCUAACUACGUGCCAGCAGCCGCGGUAAUACGUAGGGUGCGAGCGUUAAUCGGAAUUACUGGGCGUAAAGCGAGCGCAGACGGUUACUUAAGCAGGAUGUGAAAUCCCCGGGCUCAACCUGGGAAUUGCGUUCUGAACUGGGUGGCUAGAGUGUGUCAGAGGGGGGUAGAAUUCCACGUGUAGCAGUGAAAUGCGUAGAGAUGUGGAGGAAUACCGAUGGCGAAGGCAGCCCCCUGGGAUGGCACUGACGUUCAUGCCCGAAAGCGUGGGUAGCAAACAGGAUUAGAAACCCCGGUAGUCCAGAAGUG
rnacentral:rRNA from 1 species